rnacentral:lncRNA from 1 species
GUACAAGCCCAAUCUGAACCCUUCCCAAACCCAUUACAAGACAACCCACUAGCCUAACCCAAUCAGCCCAAUUGGCAGAGCCCAAACGGCCCAAUAAGCCCAACCGGCCCCAAACCCAGUCAGACUAGGGCAGAAACCCUAGCCCCCUGUUGUGCCGCACCUGCUCCUGGCCGCCUCACCUGCCCUCUGUUCACAGCCGUCCCAUAGCCAUCUCUCCUCCACCUGCUCCCAUCACCUCCUUGAACACCUGCAAACAUGACGGAAGCAGCAACAGAAACAGAAACGCAGCAAACAGUAACAAAACAACAAUAGGACUUGGUAUAAUCGGCUAUAAAGAGCCAUUCAUUUUCAAUGUAAAAGGGGGGGGUUGGGCCUCGAUUUUUAUAAAAAGAACAGAAAGAAAAAGGUUGAACAUUUUUU